rnacentral:rRNA from 1 species
GACGAACGCUGGCGGCGUGCUUGACACAUGCAAGUCGAACGGAAAGGCCUGCUUUCCCUUGUGGAUUGCGGGUACUCGAGUGGCGAACGGGUGAGUAACACGUGAGUGAUCUGCCCCCAACUUGGGUAUAAGCCUGGGAAACUGGGUCUAAUUCCCGAUAGGACUGCAGGGUGGUGCCUGUGGUGGAAAACGAUUUUCUAGUGGUUGGGGAUGAGCUCGCGGCCUAUCAGCUUGUUGGUGGGGUAAUGGCCUACCAAGGCGGCGACGGGUAGCCGGCCUGAGAGGGUGGACGGCCACAUUGGGACUGAGAUACGGCCCAGACUCCUACGGGAGGCAGCAGUGGGGAGUAUUGCACAAUGGGCGGAAGCCUGAUGCAGCGACGCCGCGUGGGGGAUGACGGCCUUCGGGUUGUAAACUCCUUUCGACCGAGAGGAAGCCACCUGGUUGGAAGGGUGGUGACGGUAGUGGUAGAAGAAGCACCGGCUAACUACGUG